UAAAUAACGAGCAAAGUUUCCUCGUGCCGAUAAGAUGCAAUUUGCUUAUCGACGAACAAAACCAAUAGAAAAACUGGAAACUGAACCUUCGUUAA